rnacentral:rRNA from 1 species
CCUGGCUCAGCAUGAACGCUAGCUACAGGCUUAACACAUGCAAGUCGAGGGGCAGCAUGGUCUUAGCUUGCUAAGGCCGAUGGCGACCGGCGCACGGGUGAGUAACACGUAUCCAACCUGCCGUCUACUCUUGGACAGCCUUCUGAAAGGAAGAUUAAUACAAGAUGGCAUCAUGAGUCCGCAUGUUCACAUGAUUAAAGGUAUUCCGGUAGACGAUGGGGAUGCGUUCCAUUAGAUAGUAGGCGGGGUAACGGCCCACCUAGUCUUCGAUGGAUAGGGGUUCUGAGAGGAAGGUCCCCCACAUUGGAACUGAGACACGGUCCAAACUCCUACGGGAGGCAGCAGUGAGGAAUAUUGGUCAAUGGGCGAGAGCCUGAACCAGCCAAGUAGCGUGAAGGAUGACUGCCCUAUGGGUUGUAAACUUCUUUUAUAAAGGAAUAAAGUCGGGUAUGGAUACCCGUUUGCAUGUACUUUAUGAAUAAGGAUCGGCUAACUCCGUGCCAGCAGCCGCGGUAAUACGGAGGAUCCGAGCGUUAUCCGGAUUUAUUGGUUUAAAGGGAGCGUAGAUGGAUGUUUAAGUCAGUUGUGAAAGUUUGCGGCUCAACCGUAAAAUUGCAGUUGAUACUGGAUAUCUUGAGUGCAGUGAGCGAAGGCCGAAUUCGUGGUGUAGCGAUGAAAUGCUUAGAUAUCACGAAGAACUCCGAUUGCGAAGGCAGCCUGCUAAGCUGCAACUGACAUGAGGGCUCGAAAGUGUGGGUAUCAACAGGGAUUAGAUACCCUGGUAGUCCACACGGUAAACGAUGAAUACUCGCUGUUUGCGAUAUACUGCAAGCGCCCAGCGAAAGCGUUAAGUAUUCCACCUGGGGAGUACGCCGGCAACGGUGAAACUCAAAGGAAUUGACGGGGGCCCGCACAAGCGGAGGAACAUGUGGUUUAAUUCGAUGAUACGCGAGGAACCUUACCCGGGCUUAAAUUGCAGAUGAAUUACGGUGAAAGCCGUAAGCCGCAAGGCAUCUGUGAAGGUGCUGCAUGGUUGUCGUCAGCUCGUGCCGUGAGGUGUCGGCUUAAGUGCCAUAACGAGCGCAACCCUUGUUGUCAGUUACUAACAGGUUCCGCUGAGGACUCUGACAAGACUGCCAUCGUAAGAUGUGAGGAAGGUGGGGAUGACGUCAAAUCAGCACGGCCCUUACGUCCGGGGCUACACACGUGUUACAAUGGGGGGUACAGAGGGCCGCUACCACGCGAGUGGAUGCCAAUCCCCAAAACCUCUCUCAGUUCGGACUGGAGUCUGCAACCCGACUCCACGAAGCUGGAUUCGCUAGUAAUCGCGCAUCAGCCACGGCGCGGUGAAUACGUUCCCGGGCCUUGUACACACCGCCC